rnacentral:rRNA from 1 species
GUAGGUGGCAAGCGUUGUCCGGAAUUAUUGGGCGUAAAGCGCGCGCAGGCGGGUUCUUUAAGUCUGAUGUGAAAGCCCACGGGCUCAACCGUGGAGGGGUCAUUGGAAACUGGAGAACUUGAGUACAGAAGAGGAAAGCGGAAUUCCACGUGUAGCGGUGAAAUGCGUAGAGAUGUGGAGGAACACCAGUGGCGAAGGCGGCUUUCUGGUCUGUAACUGACGCUGAGGCGCGAAAGCGUGGGGAGCAAACAGGAUUAGAUACCCUGGUAGUCCACGCCGUAAACGAUGAGUGCUAAGUGUUAGGGGGUUUCCGCCCCUUAGUGCUGCAGCUAACGCAUUAAGCACUCCGCCUGGGGAGUACGGCCGCAAGGCUG